rnacentral:tRNA from 1 species
GGAGAGGUGGCCGAGUGGUCUAUGGCGCUGCUUUGCUAAAGCAGAACGGCUCUGUCCGUCCCGGGUUCGAAUCCCGGCUUCUCCGCCA